rnacentral:rRNA from 1 species
CCUACGGGCGGCACCAGUGGGGAAUAUUGGACAGUGGGCGCAAGCCUGAUCCAGCCGUGCCGCGUGAGUGAAGAAGGCCUUAGGGUUGUAAAGCUCUUCCACCGGUGAAGAUAAUGACGGUAACCGGAGAAGAAGCCCCGGCUAGCUUCGUGCCAGCAGCCGCGGUAAUACGGAGGGUGCUAGCGUUGUUCGGAAUUACUGGGCGUAAAGCGCGCGUAGGCGGAUAGAUAAGUCAGAGGUGAAAUCCCGGGGCUCAACCCCGGAAUUGCCUUUGAUACUGUUUAUCUUGAGUGCAGAAGAGGUAAGUGGAAUUCCGAGUGUAGAGGUGAAAUUCGUAGAUAUUCGGAGGAACACCAGUGGCGAAGGCGGCUUACUGGUCUGCAACUGACGCUGAGGCGCGAAAGCGUGGGGAGCAAACAGGAUUAGAUACCCGAGUAGUC